UCUUGUUUUGCGCUGAGGGUGUGGAAAUUGGUGUUGGGUCACCUACUUCUAUUUUAAUUUUACGCUGCGGCAAUAGAAGGGACGGCGUAGACCAGCUUUGGGUUCCCAAAACGCCAGCCACCGACAGGCUGAUGCCGUUAUUAAGUGGACUCUGAGGCUCUGAUCCCGCUUCUUCUAGGGAGCCUGCUGUUUGUGAGUCACAGUGAGCACAGGAAAAAAAGCUCCUCCAUAGAUGUCGCUUGACGUGCAUGAGAAGAGAGGAGACGGAUGUUGCAGCCCAUGACAGGACAACGGCUACAAGAAGCGGAGCAGCUACUAGAGAGGAUGCGUACCACAAAAAUAUGUGUGGGAGGUGAAAAACAAAAUGCAAAGAUGCUGUGAUGGAUGAAUAAACCAGCAGGAUAUCUUCAUUCUCUUUAAAUGCACUCCAGACAACUCCUCAGUAUCAGGUAAGGACUUCAUUUAAGCACAUGUAAAUACCAG